CAGGAGAGAGAGAGAUACUAAGAGGAAGAGAUGCUGAGAGUCAGAGAGAGACCGAGAGAUCGAGAGUGAGGUAGCCGGAGGGGGGGUAGAGAACCGGCGAGCCUGUGACCCAGGGGAGGCCGAUCCUCCAUGGAUCGACGCCGGCGACGCGAGUACUGGUCGAUUCUAUCGGUGGGUCGACGAUCGGUGGAGCUUGGACCCAUGACCCAUGAGCUAAACCUAGGAGAACCCGUGACCCAACUAAACCAAGAGAGAGAUUCGGUGGCCUCAGUGGCAAAAUCCGACUCGAUUUUCGGCGAUUGGAUGCCGUUCUCCGGUGGUUUUCGUCGGCAGUGGACUGCCCAGCAACCCGUGCAACCCAUGACCAAGAGAGAGAACUCGUGAGACCCAUUGACCCGAGACCCGAUGGCUUGAAGGCUGGUUUUCCGGCGACUUCCAAAACUGAUUUCCGGCGAUUCCAUGGUGAUUUUCCGGUGGUUUCCCUUGGCCUAAACAGAAACUCUCAAAGGGUAAAAGCUCGACCUUGACGCUAAUGGCAAGUUCAGAUGACCCAGUAAGACGGUGUCAUUUCUUGAUAUUGGCGUAGACCUCGCUAAUGGCAUUAGAUCAUUGUGGACCGACUAAAUCUUUACUUUGUAUAGUAUGUUUCUUUUUGG